UGUCGUUGGAUGAAAAAUGCCGCUGCUUUCUAUUCCUUCCUUUAGGUCUGCCCUUGCCGAUUCCUUCUCUCUCAAAACUCCUCGUCACUUCUCCGCCACCAGCCCAAAACCGAGGAGAACCAAAGGGUAAUCAGCUAUUGAAGGACAUAUAGAGAGGGAGAAAGAUGGCAGCUGUUUCUUUUAGGUGGAUAUUGCAGUUACAUAAGGACGUGCCUAAAGCAGCUCGUUUCUACUCCGAAGGAUUGGACUAUUCAGUAAAUGUGUGCACUCUUCGCUGGGCCGAACUUCAAUCCGGCUCUGUUAAGCUCGCCCUCAUGCAUUCUCCCAAUGACCACAUUGUGCAGAAGGGAUAUUCUUCUAUGCUAUCAUUUACGGUGACUGAUAUUAACAGUACAGUGACAAAACUAAUUGCCUUGGGUGCUGAACUAGAUGGCCCAAUCAAGUAUGAAAUCCAUGGAAAGGUUGCAGCCAUGCGAUGUAUGGAUGGUCAUGUAUUGGGCCUCUAUGAACCUGUAUAGAGAUUAAAGUUAUUUUCCAUAACAACCAGUGGAGUGGCUGCUGGCAGCUCUUAUGGUGAUGUGUUCAACUCUCUUUCAGACGUGGAGAAUACGUAGGAAACUUUCCCAUUCUUUGGAUUUCCCUCAAUAAUUGUUAGUGUUUGAUCAUCCAGAUCUAUCAGAGCCGUGCAUAGCGUGUAUAGGGUUGGACCUAAAAUAUAGCCAAUAUGUUUCAACAUUCAGAAUCUUGCGUGACCUUGUAUCUAUGAGAUUAUAACUGUGCCCUACAGAAACUUCUGAUGCAUGUAUUCUCUGAAGAGAGAAUCCGAGUUAUUAACUCCAUGAUCAACUCUAAUAUAUCCCAAAGAAGUUAAAGACUGCAAGAUCUUACCUUCAAUGCAUCAUCAAUGCUGUUGGCUUCAAGGAGGUCCCGUGAGAUAAAGUUUCGUCCAAUUCCACCAGCCACGAUCUCACCUUCAGAUGGUGGUACUGAGUUCAGUGUAAAUGCCUGAUAGGAUUCGGAGUGGAAGUUGUACUUCAAAAAUUCCAUUUCUGAACUUCUGUAAGUUGUACUUAAAACCAAUUAAAUAAAGUGAAAACAUCAAAUGCAGUAGGAUUUUUCCUCAUGAA